rnacentral:rRNA from 1 species
UACGUAGGGUGCGAGCGUUAAUCGGAAGUACUGGGAGUAAAGCGUGCGCAGGCGGUUUUGUAAGGCAGAUGUGAAAUCCCCGGGCUUAACCUGGGAAUGGCAUUUGGGACUGCAAGGCUCGAGUGCGGCAGAGGAGACUGGAAUUCCUGGUGUAGCAGUGAAAUGCGUAGAUAUCAGGAGGACCACCGAUGGCGAAGGCAGGUCUCUGGGCUGACACUGACGCUCAUGCACGAAAUCCAGGGGAGCGAACGGG